rnacentral:rRNA from 1 species
GACGUAGGGCGCGAGCGUUGUCCGGAUUUAUUGGGCGUAAAGAGCUCGUAGGCGGCUUGUCGCGUCGUUCGUGAAAACCUGCAGCUCAACUGCAGGCUUGCGGUCGAUACGGGCAGGCUGGAGUUCGGUAGGGGAGAUCGGAAUUCCUGGUGUAGCGGUGAAAUGCGCAGAUAUCAGGAGGAACACCGGUGGCGAAGGCGGAUCUCUGGGCCUUACCUGACGCUCAGGCGCGAAAGCUAGGGGAGCGAACAGG